rnacentral:tRNA from 1 species
GCCUCGAAGCUGGGAGUAUACCUAGCCUGCAAAGCUAUGGUCUGUCGGUUCAAGUCCGACUCGGGGCUCCA